GUUCGCUUUCAAACUAAAAUUUUUGUUAAUGAAUACUGGAGAAACCCUCUUUUAUUUAGAAAAACAUACGUUCACAGCUUGAAGAGGUGAUAGUGAUGACUUAGCAUUCAUGUUCUUGUUGCAAGAAAGAUUUGUCAUAGUUCAGAGGGUUGAUUAUGCAGAAAAUAGCCCUGUUGCUUGGAUAAUUUGGCCUUAACCCAUCUAUUUCUCCAAGUGCAUGAAAGUACGCUUUGUAGAACUGUAUAUUGCACAGUCAUGCAAUCCAAUGUUGCCUACACCAGCUGUCAUAAGCAUUAUACAAGGAAUAGCAGUAUAACCUGCUGCUUUCUCCACAAAAUUGUAGUCUAACCCACUGUGCAGGAUGGAUAUUCUUUGGUGUUUUCCGCCCCACUCUGCCUGUUGGUUGUCUUAAUUUGUGGGAAUAUAGUUGUUAGGUUCUUGUGUUUACUUGUAUAAAACUCAUACAUCAUGGUAAGUGUGGCAUGCUCUAGAUAGGGAGCUUAAGAUAGGAUUAUCAAUUUUUAGUACCUCAGUAGUUGUACCCUGCUUUUAAUUGCCUGUAAUGAUCUACUUGGAGCGCUUCAAGCACAUGAAGACCUUUGAAGAAAAAUGGCAAAAAUUUAUAUCAUGUGUAAAGGUAAAUGUUACGUUCAUCUUAUGCUUUUCGAAACUAAAGGUGCAGUGCCUCAAAGUGGGGUGAGCUAAUCUGACAAUUCACUGUUGAAAGAGGGAUGUCCUCUCUUCCCUGGCUUUUGCUCAUGUUUACUUGGAUUCUAGUCUGGUUAGGGCCAGUUCAGUUCUCUAAAUUAUAAGUAAGACUUUUUUUUUUUCCCUUGAGUAGUUGUUUUCUGAGCUGGUGACCAGAAUCAGCCAGCUGAGAGGUCAAAGAAGUGUUGAGCUGCCAUGAUGGAAUUGAUAGGGGUAGAGGGGAAAGCCACUACCCACCUCCCUGCAAGCUGCUGGACUGGUUUAGGCAUCUCUUAAGUCUUACUUGCCAAAUGCAAGAUUUCUUAAGAGAACAGAAAACCUAAUGCAGGCAAUGUAGUAGUGUGUUAGGAAGAGGAGUUCCUAAUGGAUGAAAAGAGGAGCCCUACCUUUUGGCUUGAAUUUGGAGCUACUCAUUGCAAUGAAUAGCAUGGCACCCACUGAUGCCAGGUGGAGGCCUGCAGUUCUAGGGAAAAUGCAGUCUAUGGGCUUUAAUCUUCACAGUUUUGCUCAUCACUUAAUGAAGAAAAUAGGCUUGCCCCUAUUUCUUCAGCUCUUUUUUGUCUUUGUGCGUGUUCUUAGCAGUUUGCUGCUACUGCUAAGUUAGUACUGGCUAUUUGCUUCCAUUUUUCUGGAUCACUUAGUGUUAGCAUGCUUCCCAGCACAGAUCACUGUGAUUGCACCGGUGAUCUUUCUUGGUUCUGAACACUUGAGUCCUAUAUUCAUACCCUGUUUCCUGUCUUUCAGCCAAGUGUUUAUCCAUGUGAGGACUUUCCUUCCUAUCCCAUGGCAGUUGAGUUCCUUAAAGAACCCUGGGUGAGGGACCUUGUCAAAUGCCUUUGGGAAAUCCAGGGAUGUUCCAGUUCCCCCAGUUGCUUGGAUUUCUAGAGUUUGAGAAGCAACAAAUGCUUAAAGUUUUUCAUCUUUAUCUGGUAAAGAGGCAUUCAUUAUUUUGUGACCUAGUAGCACUCAGUUUAGUGGCAACCACUGUCCAAAUCCUUUGUGUCUUACAAGCUGUGCAUGUGUUCCCCCACUGGUACUCUGCAGUGGCUGGAGGUGAGCAAUGUUUCCAAUGAGGAACCAAGCGUUUUAAUCAUAGGAGUAGAAUGCAGGAACUUAAUAACGCCCAUGCCAUUUUUUAGCUUUGUAGUAUCUUAAGCAGUUGUUUUGGGUCUUGGUUAAAUGCCUUUUUUCUGUAAGCAUGUACAAACCCGAUCAGACUAAAUGUCUACUUAUUGUGAUAUUUCUUAAAACAACUAACAGCCAAGGCCUGGGGAAGGAUAUAAAUCUAAGGCAAGCAUGUCAUUCUCCAGAAGAUUACCCUAUCCUUCCCCAUUUUACCCUUUUGGGAUUUCCCUCUCUGAUGGUGGCAUGAUCUGGCAGUAGCACUAUAAGGUGACAGCCAGAGUCAACUGAAAUGCUGGAACUUAACCACUUAAACUACAAUGUCUGUCUUUGAGUCUGCAUAACACUACUUUUUCCAUAAUGCAGUGUAAGCAUCUCCAGAUUGUGUAUGCAAUGAGUUGUCAUUACUGCAGUAAACAUUCUUACUGAGAUGUGCUCUCAGACUUGUAUUUUGUCUUGAAUGGUUGACCACCUUGUGGAAUCUUCCAGAUAGGUAAAGCUGCACUUAAAAUAUAAAAUAUUUGUUCUGUUGGUGGGCAUAUAUGGCUUUAUUUUUGUUUAGAAUUAGUUUUCUAUUGGAGAAGAUACAGAAAUGCUGUCCUGCUUCUCUGUUGCCUGAGUUCUUAAGAUUAUUCAUCAGACUUAAACUUUGAGGGCUGGAUUGUGGCUUUACCAUGGAAGACCAAGGUAUAUGCAUAUUAUUUUGUCUUGUUGAAAUACCAGCCCAGAUUUCUGUAUUGUAAGUAAAAAUGGGCUAGUUAAUAAACUAGAAACCUUUUUCUCCAACAGCUUUUUGGGUAGGCUGAUAAAUCUUCUCUUUGGGUAAAACACUUGUUUAUGGGUGGGAUUAUAAUCUGUGGUUGUGUAUUUAACUAGUAUCAGGAUUAAGAUUUUGAAAGGACCUUUCAGUUCCCUUCAUCAGUGUAUCAAGAGAGGCCAUGUAUAGUAGGAAGAGUUGGUGAAGCUUAUGGGUUUUGUUCUUCAGCACAAAAGAAGAAAGCCUUGGGUGCUCCCUGUCACUGUCUAGCAUCUUAUUCUUGAUGACUAUUACUUGGCAAAAUGUCUGUUUGGCUUAUUAAUGCACGGUUGUAAAAGUCUUGGGAUGACAAGGCCUGUUUUUCUGAUAGCCAUUCUGUGCACUUGACUGUGUUCUUUUGGCCACCAUUGUUUCUGUGGUUAUGGUGGUUCUACAAGAUGUGAGUUAAUGACCUGCUUUGCAGAAGACUGAAGAGGUGCAACAGGGCUAAUGUGUACUGACAGAGGCUGUGCUUCUUGUAGGAGUAGGACUUGGUCUCAACUAUGCCCCUGUAAAGCUAUUGCUCAGUUUAAAUUUGGUUUGUCCUCCCAGUGCGCAGAGGUUGGACCUCUGUUUCCAGGGCUUGUACAUGCUUAGGCUAGCCAUGGAUAAAAUCCUGCAGAAGCUAAGCAAUUGAUGAAAUUUGUAAUGAUAUGUUUGAGUGCUCUGAGAAUCAGACACUCAUUUACAGGGAACAGUGAGUCUUGUGUAUAGUUUUUUCUUUUAAAUUUCCAUGUUAGACAAUCCACUUCUAGGGAACAGAUUGUGAAGGAAACCUGUAGUACAGUUGGUAAAACUUGCCCAUUUUUUCUUUCCUAGUUGUUGCAAUUUCCUGAUACAGGCUGGAAGAUCUUGGAAACUGUUACUAAUGGGUUUCUCACCUCUACACUCUGGAGUAAUUAUUGCAUGUGUACCACUGUUUAUUAUGAGAUAGGUGUGAAUAGUUAUUUUACUUGGUAUAGAAGCAGGAUUUCUGUAGCAGUGUUAUAGUACAUCCCUUGGUAUGACUAAAAUGUUCUGUAGUUAGUCCCAAUUAGUAAAGCACAGAAGAAUAUAAACUCUGUUUUAAAGAAAAGCUAGAUGUUCUGUGAUCUGUGCACUACUGUAUGACUGCUAGAGACUAUUGGUAGGGUGCACAAGGUUGCAAGUGUAAUUGAACAAGACAUGGUGUACUUCAGAAACCUGCCAGUUCCAGAGAAGGUAUUCUGUUACUCGGUUUCUUCUGGCCUUCAUAACUUCAGAGAGGAUCAGACAGGACAAAGUUAGUGUGGUCUUGGGUAGUUAAGCUUGCCACAUAUCUAAAACAACGCAUGUUUGAUUAAAGCAUAAUGGUCAUACUGGGUCAGACCAGAGAUCUUCAGAGUGAUGGUGGAGGCCUGGGAACAAGUGUCAUAGAUGAAUAGCAAGGCAUGACUGCCUCCUCCAUUUUCUACACUUUAAAUUAUUUAUAUUUACAUAAAUGGUAUCUCUGCAGCUCAUGAAUGUACACAACUAAUAGUUGAAAGGAGAGCUGUGCAUUCAAAAAUACAGGUUAAUUUCUUAAACUGGGGAUGUAGUGCAGUUUCAAUGACUCCUCUUAUCUGAGGGCAGUUAAAUAGUAGGCUUAAAGACAAGCCCCAUGUUGUUUGCAGGAGCUUGGCAAGGGUACCCAAGUAGCAGAGACUGCAAGUCUUGAUUCCCAUUUGUCAUCUUUGUUCACAAAAAUUAACACUCUGGGCAUGUUAUUGUCAUAGUUUAACCCCAGCUGGCAACUAAGCCCCACACAGCUGCCUGCUCACUCCUCCCCAGCAGGAUGCAGGAGAGAAUUGGAGGGUAAAAGUGAGAAAAUAUGUGGGCUGGUAUAAAGACAGUUUAACAGGUAAAGCAAAAGCUGCAAAGGAAGCAAAGCAAAACAAGGGAUUCAUUCACUCCUUCCCAUUGGCAGGCAGGUGUUCAGCCAUCUCCAGGAAAGCAGGGCUCCAUCAUGUGUAAUGGUGACUUGGUAAGACAAACACCAUCACUCUGAAUGUCUCUCCUCUUCCUCCUCCUUCCCCCACUCUAUAUGCUGAGCAUAACAUCAUACGGUGUGAAAUAUCCCUUGGGUCAGUUGGGGUCAGCUGUCCUGGCCGUGUCCCCUCCCAACUCCUUGUGCACCCCCAGCCUGCUUGCUGGUGGGGUGAGAAGCAGCAAAGGCCUUGAGUCUGUGUAAGGGCUGCUUAGCAGUAGCAAAAACAUCUCUGUCAGCACUGUUCUCAGCACACAUCCAAAGCAUGCCCCAUAGUAGCUACUGUGGAGAAAAUUAACUCUCUCCCAGCCAAAACCAGCAGACUUAUCUUGUGUGUAGCUCUGCUGUUUUAAGAAAUUUAAAAAUGAGAUGACUUAACAUGCAUAACUUAAAAAAAUUACAGCUUUGAAGUAAAUUUUUUGUACAGAUGGUAGAGUCGUCUUUCAGGAAAUAAGUCAUAGUGCUUGCAUUAUUUAAGUUGCAUAUUGUAACUGUAUCAUACUGCCUUUAACUUAGAUAACUUAAAUUACAAGACUGCAUGCUUAUGUUAAUCUUUAUGUAUGGAGUGGUUUUAGGGCAACUCUUGAAGUCAUCAGCAAAAACAGUUCACCAUUUUUGUAAUAGUAGGGUGGUGUGUUGUAAAAGUUUUAUCAAAUCCUUGGUGGAUUUUUUGUUACUUUGUGAUUUGGAGAAGCAAAAUAUGCUGGGAGAGGUAGGGAUUUUUUCAGCUUCUGGUAAGAGUAGAGCCACUAUAAAACUUUGCCCUAGACACGUGGAGACAUGUCAGAGACUGAUAACAUUGUUCCUGCCAGGGAAAAAGAUUGGGCCUACAAUUUCCAUUGCUGAAAUAGCUUGUGUCUGUUAAGAUUGAGAGUAUGGCACCCAAGGAAAAAACUGACCGUUAAGCUUUAUUAGUUUCCCAUGGCUCAUGCUGCCAUGACACAGCAGAACAUAAGGAGGUAAAAUGAUGGGGGAGGGAUGAGUGGGUAUCCUAGCUAAAACUGACAGUAUGCAAGGUAAACAGGCCGCAGAACAGUAAAGCAUCAUAUUACGUGAGGCAUAGCCUAAUUGCCUCAUCGUGCUCUUGGCAGAAGCUAAAUAUGUUGGAAUCAAUCUUUAGUGUCUUUUCCAGCCUAAAUGAAUCUGUGUCAUUCUAGUGUCCCUCUGCCUGGCAGAUAUAACUAUAAAACUGUUUUUCUGUUGAGUAGAUGGGAUAGUUGGGGCUUAGUCUCAUUUGUUAAUGGUCUUGUUUUCUGCCUGGGAUUCCCACCAGUUCUAGAAGGUGGAAGGUAAAUGAUGAAUGAACUGAAGCACCGUGUGGCAGGACAAAACCUAUGAUUCCUGAAUGUCUUGUACUAGGCUCUCAAUGUAUAGUUAACAUUUUAGCUUUUAUUUUUCCAAUAUGUCACAAGUGUUCAUAGUGUGGUUAGGUAAUGAAAGGAUAUUAACUUCCCGUAAGUAGUUCAGGCUUUUGCUUCCACUUGAGUAUAGGAAACCUAUAUUUAGUAAUAUUUUUUAACCUCAGGUUUAGAAGCCUUUUGCAAAAGAUUUAAACACUUAUAUUUUGUGUAUUACUUUUCAGUGUAAAUAGCUGCUUGGCAUGGGUGGAUAUGGUUGCUCUGGUUAUCCUCAGGAUGACUUUUUUGUUACUUUUCCAAACACCUAAUUUUUCUUCUGGUCAUUUCUUCUUAGAACUUUGACUUGCUUCCCGAAUAACAGUACUCAUACUUUUCUACAUCUAUUCAAAUCUGAAUUUUAAUUUUUGGUUAAUUACCAUGUUGUACUGUAUUCCAGUUGACAAAUCAGUGGAGCAUUGUAAUUCUUCAGUGUAUCCUUACUGUGCUGAAAGCUAGCUUACAAAAGCUCAUGCUUUUCUCCCUAUUCACUGUCUUUUCUGGAGCACUUUGAAGAACAUUCAUUCCUGUAGGAUUGUACUGAUAACUGUUAUCCACUGUGAAGAACAUGUUUGCUGCUAAUGCCAAAUCCUCUUUGUCUGUCUCUUAAAAAUACCGAAAUGCAAAACAAUAUCUUCAAAGAAUUUUUUUGAUCCUUCUCAAAUGCAUGUAAAAGAACAACAGGUACUUCCUUUGUGUACGUGCUCAUUGAUUUGUUUGGAACACUCGGUAUAAACGUGAGGAAUAACUGUGUGUGGAAGGAGGAGGGAGCCUGUUUCCAUAAGCUAUUGUUAGCAUGUAACCUCUGUUGAAUGGCUUGAAAGACACUU